rnacentral:rRNA from 1 species
GACGAACGCUGGCGGCGUGCUUAACACAUGCAAGUCGAACGGAAAGGCCCUGCUUUUGUGGGGGGCUCGAGUGGCGAACGGGUGAGAAACACGUGAGUAACCUGCCUUUGACUUUGGGAAAACUUGAGUAAACCGGGGCUAAUAGCGGAUAUGAGCUCCUGCAGCAUGGUGGGGGUUGGAAAGUUUCGGCGGUUGGGGUUGGACUCGCGGCUUAUCAGCUUGUUGGUGGGGUAGUGGCUUACCAAGGCUCUGACGGGUAGCCGGCCUGAGAGGGUGACCGGCCACAUUGGGACUGAGAUACGGCCCAGACUCCUACGGGAGGCAGCAGUGGGGAAUAUUGCACAAUGGGCGGAAGCCUGAUGCAGCAACGCCGCGUGCGGGAUGACGGCCUUCGGGUUGUAAACCGCUUUCGCCUGUGACGAAGCGUGAGUGACGGUAAUGGGUAAAGAAGCACCGGCUAACUACGUG